UGGGGAAUAUUGCACAAUGGGCGAAAGCCUGAUGCAGCAACGCCGCGUGAGUGAUGAAGGCCUUCGGGUUGUAAAGCUCUGUCUUCUGGGACGAUAAUGACGGUACCAGAGGAGGAAGCCACGGCUAACUACGUGCCAGCAGCCGCGGUAAUACGUAGGUGGCAAGCGUUGCCCGGAUUUACUGGGCGUAAAGGAUGCGUAGGCGGAUACUUAAGUCAGAUGUGAAAAUCCCGGGCUUAACUUGGGAACUGCAUUUGAAACUGGGUAUCUAGAGUGCGGGAGAGGAAAGUGGAAUUCCUAGUGUAGCGGUGAAAUGCGUAGAGAUUAGGAAGAACACCAGUGGCGAAGGCGACUUUCUGGACCGUAACUGACGCUGAGGCAUGAAAGCGUGGGGAGCAAACA
rnacentral:rRNA from 1 species